rnacentral:rRNA from 1 species
GAUGAACGCUGGCGGCGUGCCUAAUACAUGCAAGUAGAACGCUGAAGCUUGGUGCUUGCACCGAGCGGAUGAGUUGCGAACGGGUGAGUAACGCGUAGGUAACCUGCCUGGUAGCGGGGGAUAACUAUUGGAAACGAUAGCUAAUACCGCAUAACAGUCGACAUUGCAUGAUGUUGAUUUGAAAGGGCAAAUGCUCCACUACCAGAUGGACCUGCGUUGUAUUAGCUAGUUGGUGAGGUAACGGCUCACCAAGGCGACGAUACAUAGCCGACCUGAGAGGGUGAUCGGCCACACUGGGACUGAGACACGGCCCAGACUCCUACGGGAGGCAGCAGUAGGGAAUCUUCGGCAAUGGACGGAAGUCUGACCGAGCAACGCCGCGUGAGUGAAGAAGGUUUUCGGAUCGUAAAGCUCUGUUGUAAGAGAAGAACGAGUGUGAGAGUGGAAAGUUCACACUG